CCAGCUUGACUGCGAGCGUGACGGCGCGAGCAGGUGCGAAAGCAGGUCAUAGUGAUCCGGUGGUUCUGAAUGGAAGGGCCAUCGCUCAACGGAUAAAAGGUACUCCGGGGAUAACAGGCUGAUACCGCCCAAGAGUUCAUAUCGACGGCGGUGUUUGGCACCUCGAUGUCGGCUCAUCACAUCCUGGGGCUGAAGUAGGUCCCAAGGGUAUGGCUGUUCGCCAUUUAAAGUGGUACGCGAGCUGGGUUUAGAACGUCGUGAGACAGUUCGGUCCCUAUCUGCCGUGGGCGCUGGAGAACUGAGGGGGGCUGCUCCUAGUACGAGAGGACCGGAGUGGACGCAUCACUGGUGUUCGGGUUGUCAUGCCAAUGGCACUGCCCGGUAGCUAAAUGCGGAAGAGAUAAGUGCUGAAAGCAUCUAAGCACGAAACUUGCCCCGAGAUGAGUUCUCCCUGAGACUUUAGGUCUCCUGAAGGAACGUUGAAGACGACGACGUUGAUAGGCCGGGUGUGUAAGCGCAGCGAUGCGUUGAGCUAACCGGUACUAAUGAACCGUGAGGCUUAACCUUACAACGCCGAAG
rnacentral:rRNA from 1 species